rnacentral:lncRNA from 1 species
GACAAUUUAGGUUCGUACAAAGUUCGUUCUGAAAUGGAGUGGUUGGUGUAUUGCAUAGUUUUACCCAUUGGAUUUCACUCAAAACUCACCAAAUGACUCCACCUCCCAUUAUAUUAUGAUAUUACCCACUUUUUGGACUCAAUCCGAUAUCGAUUGGUCCAUGAAAUUGGACAAUUCAGAUUCGAACGAAGUUCGUUCUGAAAUGGAGUGGUUUGUGUAUUUCUAAGUUUUAGCCAUUGGAUUUCACUCAAAAGUCACCAAAUCACUCCUCCUAC